rnacentral:lncRNA from 1 species
CAAAAGCUUCCCAUUUUAGAAGCAACAAUACUGCUCUCAAAGCUGUGGCUUGGAUCACUCGAAUUACAUGUUAAAUGUAAUAAGAGGUUUAACCUUCCCUUAAUUUACACCAAUUGUUUAUGGUUAAAGAACAAUCCUACAAACAUCUUAUCGAAAAUUCAUAGUGCCCACACCUUCAUUUAAGUUGCAUAAAAAUUCUGCAAUAGCUUUUGCAUGUAUAGACAUCUUGUUCGAAUUUUGCUCAUUGAGUUAAACUUUGCUUUGAGUAUACUUUUGGUGAUAUUUACAUGUCUUGAUCUUCUAUCUUUAAUAGUUUCUUCUAACAGUUUGUUGGUGCAGUAAUUUUCAUAUUCUCUCUUUUAGUUUCUCAACAUGUCAAGAAUCACAUUUUCGUGUGAUUUUAGUUUUUAUCCAUUGGAUAAGUACAUACAAGAGCAACCACUAUCCAAUUAGAGGGAUGAUGAUAUCUGUCUUACUUGUUCAACUACUACUUAUUCAUUAUCCUAAAACCACAUGGUCGAACAUUGACGAAGUUAAUUUGUAGAAAUACUUCCAAAUCAAGGAAACUGAAUGCAAAGUAUGCACCUUUUUGUAUUUGAUUUCCUCUAAUUUUGACUGUAAUCAUGGUUAAUUGAAGCUAGAUAAAAGUUCAUUAUCGCCGCAAACUUCUCCAGACUGUAAGUUAAUGAAAUUUAGCCAAAUGAGUCAUGGAGCCAGAGUUGUGCUUUUUAUGAAGAAAAGUGUUACAAUGCAGAAAGAAACUCCA